AUGGCGCUGCGUUCUCUGCUGACGAAGGUGCCGGCCCUUGGUCUCAGGUCUCGGGGGCCCGUCCACGCGCUCUCGCCGCCGCCGGCUGCUCGGCUUUUGUCCAGUGGUGGUCCGGGGGGACAAAUCAUUUCUGAAGGAAGUCCUACUACCAUAUAUUCUGAAGAAGUAAAAGCCCUGGAAACAGACUGCGAAAGGCUCCAGGAGAAGAUACACAGGGACAUGGAUAGUUUUUCUGAACUUCUGAGGUCUGAUGCUGAAUAUUAUCGAAGGCUUACCAAGCAACUUAAAAUGGUGGACACUGCAUGUGGUGCUGCUAUAGUCCUGGGUGUGUCGGCAGCAGUUUUUAUGACGGUUAUUUGA
rnacentral:rRNA from 1 species